rnacentral:rRNA from 1 species
UACAGAGGUCUCAACCGUUGUUCGGAUUCAUUGGGCGUAAAGGGUGCGUAGGCGGUCGGGUAAGUCGGAUGUGAAUCUCAGGGCUCAACCCUGAAACUGCAUUCGAUACUGCCUGGCUAGGGUACUGGAGAGGAGACUGGAAUUCCUGGUGUAGCGGUGGAAUGCGGCAGAUAUCAGGAGGAACACCGAGUGGCGAAGGCAGGUC